CCCCUAGAUGUUCUGGGCCGCACGCGCGCUACACUGAACAGUUCAACAAGUCUUAACCUUGGCCGAUAGGUCUGGGUAAUCUUUGAACGCUGUUCGUGAUUGGGAUAGACCUUUGCAAUUAUGGGUCUUCAACGAGGAAUUCCUAGUAAACGCAAGUCAUCAGCUUGCUUUGAUUACGUCCCUGCCCUUUGUACACACCGCCCGUCGCACCUACCGAUUGAAUGGUCCGGUGAAAUCUCGGGACGGCGGCUUGGUCGCUUGCGUCCGACUGCUGAAACUUGAUUAAACCAUAUCAUUUAGAGGAAGGUGAAGUCGUAACA
rnacentral:rRNA from 1 species